GAGUAGCAAUUGGAGGAGCAAGUCUGGUGCCAGCAGCCGCGGUAAUUCCAAAGCUCCAAUAGCGUAUAUUAAACUUGUUGCAGUUAAAAAGGCUCGUAGUUGAACUUUAGCGUGUUCGAGUUUGCGGCAUUCGUUUGGCCUUUUCGAGUUCGCUUUUGGGUUUUUCCCUUUUUACUUUGAGAAAAUUAGAGUGUUUCAAGCCCAGACUUUUGUCUUGAAUACUUCAGCAUGGAAUAAUCAGAGUAGGACUUUGGUUCUAUUUUGUUGGUUAUUGAUUACCUUAGUAAUGGUUAAUAGGAACGGUUGGGGGCACUUCGUAUUUAACUGUCAGAGGUGAAAUUCUUAGAUUUUUGUUAAAGACGAACUACUGCGAAAGCAUUUGCCAAGGGACGUUUCCAUUAAUCAAGAACGAAAGUUAAAAACGAAGACGAUCAGAUACCGUCGUAGUCCUAACCAUUUAAACCAUGCCGACUAGUGAUUGGAGGUCGUCGUUUUUUUUUGCUGACCCCUUCCCCAGGAACUUGAGAGAAAUAA
rnacentral:rRNA from 1 species